rnacentral:lncRNA from 1 species
AAACACCUUUACUACUACAUCCUACAUACUCUCACUCUGAUUGGCACACACCUAUAAAGAUCAUUGACCCCCAAUCCUUUCUCUAACCUCACACUUCCAAUCAAACCUUUAACCUCACUUUCUCUGCAACUACCCUUCUCCCCUCUGCUACAUUUACAUUCCCUCUUCCUAACACACAUUAAUCCAAGUUGUUGUUCCAUAUUUACACAAAGAAUUUGUCUCACUCGUGCAAAACAGAGUCACCAAACCCAAAUAUUCACGCAACCCAUAUGCUAAAAUAAAAUAGCUAUAACUAUAACACAAUUACAAAAUUUAAAAACUCACAAGAGGAGUGUCGUUCUCCCUCAGGGUUUGCCGGAAGCGAGUGACAAUGGGUUCCUAAACCCAGUGCACGAACACAGAUUCUACACCAAUGGCACGAUCAACACCUGAUAAAAAUGUGUUUUCAUCAAAAUAAAGGCAAAGGAGAAACGAAGCCGAGAAGAGAAGAAGGGAGAAGGAACGUGAAACCUGAAAAUGGAAGUCCUGAAACGAAGGAGAAACGGGAGUGCACUGAAGGAGCGAGCAAAGAUGUACACGUCAAAUUGAAGGAGAACCGCCGAAGGCACCUAACGCACUGAUGAAACGGAAGGGAUGGAGCCUUAACGCACUGUGAACGGAGGAGAAGAAGCCCUAAAGUAUUGUGAACGGAGGAGAAGGAGCCUAACGUUGAUGAAACGAAGGACAGGAGCCCUAGCCACUGAUCAAACGGAGGAGAAGCGCGAAUCAAACCAAGGAACAGCGCGAAGAAGCAACGCGAAGAGUGAAAACGAGGAGCAGCGCGAG